rnacentral:rRNA from 1 species
CCUACGGGGGGCAGCAGUGGGGGAUAUUGCACAAUGGGGGCAACCCUGAUGCAGCGACGCCGCGUGGGCGAAGAAGUAUUUCGGUAUGUAAAGCCCUAUCAGCAGGGAAGAAGAAAUGACGGUACCUGAGUAAGAAGCACCGGCUAAAUACGUGCCAGCAGCCGCGGUAAUACGGAGGGUGCAAGCGUUAUCCGGAUUUACUGGGUGUAAAGGGAGCGCAGGCGGCACGGCAAGCCUGAUGUGAAAGCCCGGGGCCCAACCGCGGGACUGCAUUGGGAACUACCGGGCUGGAGGGCCGGAGAGGUAGGCGGAAUUCCUAGUGUAGCGGUGAAAUGCGUAGAGAUUAGGAGGAACACCAGUGGCGAAGGCGGCCUACUGGACGGUGACUGACGCUGAGGCUCGAAAGCGUGGGGAGCAAACAGGAUUAGAUACCCCGGUAGUC